GUCCUUUCGAUGGCAUGUGAACAGCUGUGAAGGGGAUGAGAGGAACUGUUGUGUCCACAUACUAAGUAGUCAGGGUAGUUAGCAAUAUGUUCUUACGGGCAUUCCUUUCUUUGAAACCAGGUCUUUGAUUUGUCAUUUUCUUGUUGAUAUUAGAACUGCAAUGUAUGGUGUGUUUGUUUUGUUUGUAGACACAGUAUACAUCUGCCUGGUAUCUUUCAACUACCAGAAGGAUGUUUUUGCUGUCAUUUCUAGAAGUUAGUCUAUAAUGACACAUACUAGUGGAGCAGUGAGGAAGGAUGUGUGACUUAUCUCCCUUUGAGUGUAGCAGUAUCAUGUCUUGAACAAAAUUUGUUGUUUCAUAUUUUCUGUUUGAUUGUUUUCUUUAAUUCUCUUACCUCCUGUAAUUAUGUUGCCAACAUUCACUGCAGGAAGUUGUGUGACAUUGUAAAUUCGAAGAGGGAAUUAGUUAAUAGUUAACAGUAGAACUGAGAAUCACAGAAUAUGGCCACAAUAGCUAGGAAUCAGUAUUAGCUCUUUAAGUAGGCGUGCAUGACUCACGUAAAACAGCUUGGAAUCAACACUGGAAUCAACACUGGAUUCAUCUGUGACUGUGUUAUACAGCUGUUAAUCAAUGCGAGGUCAAUCUCAGACUCAAGGAUUACAACUGGGAAUCCACAGUGGCUCCAUCUCAUGCUCACAGAAUAGAGCUGGGAAUCCACAGUGGCUCCACUUGAGACCAAGGAAUACUGCUGGAAUCAACAGUGGAUCUUAAAGAUCAAUAAUAGUCUAUAUAUCAAACUCUUUCUUUUGUCAACCGUUUUUUAUUUGUUUCCAUGUUAUAUACACGCUUUGACUUUGUUACUUAGCACUUCAGUGUUCAAGUUGAAGUUGCACAUUUAAGUGCUUACCUCAAGGCUAGAUUCCACUAGCUGCCAUGUUUGCCGAGGUGACAAGGCAAAUGAUUGUGAUUGUGAAUGUAAAGGAAUGAAAUAAGUGCUGUUAACAAUGUUUUUACAUGUUCUUUGUAUGUUUGAAGAGCAAUAUUUUCCUCCUUAAAGGUAAAUGUAUUAGACUUGCGAAAAUAUUUGUCAUCGUAUUUGAUAUUAGUACAUGUGCUGAUUGUUUAAAGACAAAACAAAAAGGAAUUUUGAUCCCACAGCUUAUAGAUAAUGUGUUUUAAGAAUAAAAAUGUGUUAAGGUCUGUGAUCAGAAUAUCUUUAAAAUACUUUUUUAAGUAAUUUUUUUUAAGAUAGAUGGAUGAUGGGAAGAAAAAUAUUAACAAUGUAUUUCCAAAACCUAUACUUUUCACCACACAGAUCCGUGUACCAAGUAAUGAAUAGUACAUGGCCCUUAUUGAAAUGUCAGGGGAGGACUUAGGAAGUUAGGAUGAGGUCUUUUCAUGGAUAAACCAUAAAUCAUGAUGAUAAAAUGCUGUUAUUGAUUUACUUGUGUAAGAUAGCUUUUGUUUGUUCCACAAAACAGCCUCAGCGUCCCAGUAACACUUUACACAGAUAUGUGAUGUGCAGUACCACAGUGCCAUGAUCACAUUGUUGAAGGACGUAAAUGUUCAACCUUGCACAAAACUAGUUAAUUCACAUGUGUUAGAGGCUCCUUGGAGAGUCACAGUUUUGUAAACAAUAUAUUUGACAAUGUUCUUUGCUCAGCCAUGAUUAAAACUACCUGCCCAUCAUCAUAUUUGUUUCUCUUGUGCAUAACUGAAGCAAUAGGAGCACAAAACCUCCAUGUUGAGGUUAUGCUUUUUUCCAUAUUUUGCUUUGUAAGUUUCUCAAAUCAUUUGAAAGUUGUGUCUAAGACAACAUAAUUCAAAUCUGGCAACAAGGAAGGAUGCCAUUUGUAACUGCAUAUAUUUGUUUUUUUAAUCAUGUUGCCUUUGUGAAGCAGCUUUUAGGCUUCCUAUGGUUGCGAGUUCAAACUGUGAACUUGCCUUGAAUGUUCCCUUCGUAAGAAACCUACUUCUACCCUAGCCUACCUGAUAGACACAAACAUGUUGGCACCCAUCCUGUGUCAGGGGCUUCACCACAGUCGUGGGGCCAAGCUGGCCUGUUUUAAGAGGUAUAUAUUUUGCUCUGAACGGAGCUGUUCUUCUCGGGAUGGCAGGGCAGUAUGUUUGGGUUUUGAAUCCUAGAUUUGUCCUGGUUAAGCUUUAUCAGCAUGUUACCUAGGGCAUGUGUUCACCACAGAGUUAGAACCACAGCUGGCUCACUUGUAAGCACAAUUCAUUGCUGAUCUUAUGCACAUUUUUUAGAAUCCCAGAUUCAGUUAGGUUUGCUACUUUGUGAGCACAUAAAACCCCAACAUACAGUUGACAGGUGAUAAGAAUGACAUACUGUUUGAUGAGGCAUCAAGCCUGACUCAGUCACUCGUACUGACAAGAUGCAAGAGGACAUGUCGUCACGGUUUAUCGUCAUUCCUCCCAUAUGAAUGUACCACAGACCCCCUUUGCACAGUAUGGAUAUAUUCCACAUCAUCCAUCUGAUGAGACUUUCAAUGUGACACAUUUCUCUAAGCUGAUAAGUCACUAUCUAUUUGUUUGGAAUGUGUGGGUGUAUUGUACUAUCUCUGAAGGAGUGUUGCAGUGAAGGAGUGUUGCAGUGAAGGUGGCAUGAAAUGCUUGUCGUAACACCUGAUGAGAUGAACACUUUGCUGAUAACAGUAGUGCUGUCGCACCUGUUACAGACCUUUUUCAAAGUUAUACCAAGUAUCCUAAAAAUUUCCAGCCUUGACAUCUUGGUAGAUCAUACAAAUAUUGCAAACUGAAUCAUGGUUUGUGUUCUGUAUGAUAGCAUGUGUGUUAUUUCUAGAAUGAAAUAUAGUAAAGAUAUUAGCAUGAUGAGGCAGAAGUAUGAAGUGCAGUGAUUGUCAGGCAAUGGGUCUGGAAGAUAUAUAAACUGUCUGCUUCAGGCAGUUUUGAAAGUGUUUCACCAAUAGUUCUGAAGGCUUUUUACCCCCAAAUCCCAAAUUUGGCCAGCGGUUGAUAAGUUGACGAAGUGCUAUGGUUUGGUACAACUACAAAUCCUGACCUUGUGUGUAUUCUCAGCAUACAAUCUAGCCACAUCGGCAGCCAGGACUGUAAGCUGGAAUGAAUAUGUAUUACGUGUCCUGCAAUAUUCUCUUGCUUAAUUGCUACCUGACUUUUAUGCAAUACAAUUAAGUUGAUAGGGCCAGAUGUUUAAUCAUAUUUUAUUCAUAGAAAACUUGCAUCUGUUCUGUGUUUUCUACUCAGUGCUUGUGAUAUUGUCAUGUGAGAUUCCCAACCGAGAUUUUACACAGUAGUGGUUUGUCAGUCGGUACAUAUUACAUAGUGUACAUAAGCAUAAUGCUACUAUACCCAAUAAACUAUAUACAUCCUCA